rnacentral:rRNA from 1 species
UACAGAGGGUGCAAACGUUGCUCGGAAUCAUUGGGCGUAAAGCGCACGUAGGCGGUCUUGUAAGUCAGGAGUGAAAGCCCUCGGCUUAACCGGGGAAGUGCUUUUGAAACUGCAAGACUUGAAUACUGGAGAGGAUCGCGGAAUUCCCGGUGUAGAGGUGAAAUGCGUAGAUAUCGGAAGGAACAUCAGUGGCGAAAGCGACUUCCUGGACCAAUACUGACGCUCAUGUGCGAAAGCGUGGGGAGCAAACAGG